GUGGGGAAUCUUGCGCAAUGGGCGAAAGCCUGACGCAGCCAUGCCGCGUGAAUGAUGAAGGUCUUAGGAUUGUAAAGUUCUUUAGCCUGUGACGAUGAUGACGGUAACAGGAGAAUAAGCCCCGGCUAACUUCGUGCCAGCAGCCGCGGUAAUACGAAGGGGGCUAGCGUUGUUCGGAAUUACUGGGCGUAAAGCGCGCGUAGGCGGUUAUGCAAGCCAGAGGUGAAAUGCCCGAGCUUAACUUGGGAAUUGCCUUUGGAACUGCAUGGCUUUGAGGACGAGAGAGGUGAGUGGAAUUCCCAGUGUAGAGGUGAAAUUCGUAGAUAUUGGGAAGAACACCGGUGGCGAAGGCGGCUCACUGGCUCGUUUCUGACGCUGUAGCGCGAAAGCGUGGGGAUCAAACAGGAUUAGAAACCCCGGUAGUCC
rnacentral:rRNA from 1 species